rnacentral:pre_miRNA from 1 species
UAACUACUUCCUCCGUUCGGAAAUACUUGUCAUCAAAAUGGAGAAAAAGGGAUGUAUCUAGAUGUAUUUUAAUUCUAGAUACAUCUCUUUUUAUCCAUUUUGAUGACAAGUAUUUUUGGACGGAGGGAGUAGUAC